rnacentral:rRNA from 1 species
GAUGAACGCUGGCGGCGUGCCUAAUACAUGCAAGUCGAGCGAACAGACGAGGAGCUUGCUCCUCUGACGUUAGCGGCGGACAGGUGAGUAACACGUGGAUAACCUACCUAUAAGACUGGGAUAACUUCGGGAAACCGGAGCUAAUACCGGAUAAUAUAUUGAACCGGAUGGUUCAAUAGUGAAAGACGGUUUUGCUUUCACUUGUAGAUGGAUCCGCGCCGCAUUAGCUAGUUGGUAAGGUAACGGCUUACCAAGGCAACGAUGCGUAGCCGACCUGAGAGGGUGAUCGGCCACACUGGAACUGAGACACGGUCCAGACUCCUACGGGAGGCAGCAGUAGGGAAUCUUCCGCAAUGGGCGAAAGCCUGACGGAGCAACGCCGCGUGAGUGAUGAAGGUCUUCGGAUCGUAAAACUCUGUUAUUAGGGAAGAACAAAUGUGUAAGUAACUAUGCACGUCUUGACGGUACCUAAUCAGAAAGCCACGGCUAACUACGUG